UCAACCAUGACCUUCAUCUCCAUCUUCAUCUGCACACUGGCUCUCUGCACUCAAGGAUCCAGAGGUCAGGUGACUGUGACUCAUAGUCCUGCAGUAAAACAUGUUGAUCCAGGAGCUUCAGUCACCAUCAACUGUAAAACCAGUUCUGCUAUUAAUUGCCAGAGUGGUGAUGGAGAUAAAUGUUUAGCCUGGUAUCAGCAGAAACCUGCAGAAGCUCCUAAACUCCUGAUCUACUUGACUAAGAGAAGAGCAUCAGGUAUUCCAGAUCGUUUCAGUGGCAGUGGAUCUGGAUCUGACUUCACUCUGACCAUCAGUAGAAUUGAGACUGGAGAUGCAGGAGAUUAUUACUGUCAGAGUUACCAUAGUGGUAACAUCUUCACACAGUGUUAUAUGGUGGUACAAAAACCUGGGUGA